rnacentral:rRNA from 1 species
UACGAAGGAUUCGAGCGUUAUCCGGAUUUAUUGGGUUUAAAGGGUGCGUAGGUGGAUUAAUAAGUCAGUGGUGAAAGCCCGAAGCUCAACUUCGGAACUGCCAUUGAUACUGUUAAUCUUGAGUACAAUUGAAGUGGGCGGAAUGUGUCAUGUAGCGGUGAAAUGCUUAGAUAUGACACAGAACACCGAUUGCGAAGGCAGCUCACUAAGCUGUAACUGACACUGAGGCACGAAAGCGUGGGGAGCAAACAGG